GAGGGUAUAGCUCAAGUGGUAGAGCUCAUGCUUAGCAUGAGUGAGGUCCUGGGUUCAAUCCCUGGUACUGCCA
rnacentral:tRNA from 1 species